rnacentral:rRNA from 1 species
CAGCCGCCGCGGGAAUACGUAGGGUGCAAGCGUUAAUCGGAAUUACUGGGCGUAAAGCGUGCGCAGGCGGUGUUGUAAGACUGAUGUGAAAUCCCCGGGCUCAACCUGGGAACUGCAUUGGUGACUGCAACGCUGGAGUGCGGCAGAGGGGGAUGGAAUUCCGCGUGUAGCAGUGAAAUGCGUAGAUAUGCGGAGGAACACCGAUGGCGAAGGCAAUCCCCUGGGCCUGCACUGACGCUCAUGCACGAAAGCGUGGGGAGCAAACAGGAUUAGAUACCCGCGUAGUCCCUGUCUCUUAUAC